rnacentral:rRNA from 1 species
AUUGAACGCUGGCGGCAGGCCUAACACAUGCAAGUCGAGCGGAUGAAGGGAGCUUGCUCCUGGAUUCAGCGGCGGACGGGUGAGUAAUGCCUAGGAAUCUGCCUGGUAGUGGGGGAUAACGUCCGGAAACGGGCGCUAAUACCGCAUACGUCCUGAGGGAGAAAGUGGGGGAUCUUCGGACCUCACGCUAUCAGAUGAGCCUAGGUCGGAUUAGCUAGUUGGUGGGGUAAAGGCCUACCAAGGCGACGAUCCGUAACUGGUCUGAGAGGAUGAUCAGUCACACUGGAACUGGGACACGGUCCAGACUCCUACGGGAGGCAGCAGUAGGGAAUAUUGGACAAUGGGCGAAAGCCUGAUCCAGCCAUGCCGCGUGUGUGAAGAAGGUCUUCGGAUUGUAAAGCACUUUAAGUUGGGAGGAAGGGCAGUAAGUUAAUACCUUGCUGUUUUGACGUUACCAACAGAAUAAGCACCGGCUAACUUCGUG